rnacentral:misc_RNA from 1 species
CGCUGGAGACUAUUCCUGUCCCUUCCCAUAACUUAAAAUUGCAGUACUCUGUUCUGACUCAGCGAGGUUACUACCCAGACUCGCCAGAUAAGGAAAAUCAAGACAGUUUCUGCAUUAGAACUCAAAUUGACGGUAAUCCAAAUAUCCAUUUCUUUGGUGUAUUUGAUGGGCAUGGUCAAUAUGGUGCUGAAUGUUCAAAUUUCGUGAAGGAUAGGUUAGUUGAGAUAUUAUCAAAUGAUCCCACGUUGUUGAAUGACCCUGCUAAAGCUUAUAGUUCUGCAUUUUCAAGGACGAACUCUGAGUUACAUAGUAGUAAAAUUGAUGAUACGAUGAGUGGUACCACUGCAAUAACGGUUCUUGUUAUUGGAGAUAAGAUUUAUGUUGCCAAUGUGGGUGAUUCCAGAGCAGUAAUUGCCGUUAAAAAUGGGAAUAGAAUUAUAGCUGAGAAUUUGUCCAAUGAUCAAACCCCAUUUAGGAAAGAUGAGUAUGAGAGGGUGAAGUUAUGUGGGGCUAGAGUUCUGAGUGUUGAUCAAGUGGAAGGGUAUGCGGAUCCUGAUAUACAGACGUGGGACAAUGAGGAAAGUCAAGGGGGUGAUCCUCCAAGGUUGUGGGUGCAGAAUGGGAUGUAUCCUGGGACCGCAUUUACAAGAAGUGUAGGGGAUAGUACAGCUGAGACAAUCGGGGUUAUUGCUGAUCCAGAGGUUUCUAUUGUUCAGCUCACGCCCAAUCAUUUGUUCUUUGUGGUUGCAAGUGAUGGAGUUUUUGAGUUCCUCUCAAGCCAAGCCGUUGUUGAUAUGGUGGCACGAUAUACCGAUCCCCGAGAUGCAUGUGCAGCCAUUGCAGGAGAGUCAUAUAAACUAUGGUUGGAGCAUGAAACUCGGACAGAUGAUAUUACAAUUAUUAUUGUGCACGUCAAAAACUCAUCUAGUCCAGGUGCUGGUGCUACGGAUGGAACCACCGAAGUCAAUAGGAAUCCAGUGAGUUCAAGGACACGAAAAGAAAGUUCUGGCUUCUCCAUUGGCUCUGGGUCUGAAAUUUACCGUUCAAUGAGGAGUGAAUUCUCAGACCAGCAACUUUCAGUGAAUCGAAGUGCAGCUAUUGUUGUUCCAUCUCCAUCACAUCAGAGGUCCUUGGAAUAGGAUGGGGGUUAGUGAUCCUGCUUGUGAAACUGAAGACAAUUUGUUCCUUGUACAAGAUGUACUUGCCCCAAGGAUCUCCAGGCAGGACAUUUUUUUUUCCUUACUACUGUUGCUGAAACACUGCCACUAACGGGUGACCACACAAUUGCUUCAGGAGAAAAGAAUGCUUUCCAUUAUGCUGUAACCAAGCAGGUGCUAAAUCCAAACGCAAGGACUUGUGUACCAAAGUUGGAGAGAUUGCUGGAGGCGGGAAAUGAUAGUUAUAAAUUUCAUUAAGAUAUAUAUAUACUCUCUCGUUCACACUAUUCAGGAAGAAGAAAUGCUAUAAAGUUGCAUGCUUUGAUAUCAGCUCAACCAUGUGCAAUUUUGAAUUUCUUAAUUCAAUUUACUAUCGCACAUCACUCCUAUAUCUCUAUUAACGGUAGUAUGAUAUUGUUAUAAUAGAAUCUGCAUUUCCUUCAUGGUAGUUUCUAUAUUCUUUUAAUUUGAUUUGUAUAGGGUUCGCUCAUAUGUGAUGAACCAAUUAAGAGAAAUUGUGUUCUCUGAAGUAUUGCUCAUACUUCGUUUGCUUUGGUAGUCAUUGGAGAUUUGAGUGUUGUAUAAGUUGUUGAUGCAAUGGCAUGUGGCUUUCUCAUGCUCGUGUGUUUUGUUUUGCGACAUUUAAGUGACGAAGCCUUUAAAUUCCCAAGUGAUCUACAUGCCUCGUCUUUUGGAGCAUGAUGAAUUCCAUUCCCUUCGGCAUGCCAUUCCAAGAGCUCGAGUCACUGCUCAUGACACGUUAACAUGUUUCUGCUGUGAUGUAGGCACCACACCCCCUCCCCCC